rnacentral:rRNA from 1 species
GACGAACGCUGGCGGCAUGCCUAAUACAUGCAAGUCGAGCGAACAGAUGAAGUGCUUGCACUUCUGACGUUAGCGGCGAACGGGUGAGUAACACGUAAGGAAUCUACCUAUAAGCGGGGGAUAACAUUCGGAAACGGGUGCCAAUACCGCAUAAUAUCUUCUUCCGCAUGGAAGAAGAUUGAAAGACGGCUCUGCUGUCACGUAUAUAUGACCUUGCGGUGCAUUAGUUAGUUGGUGGGGUAACAGCCUACCAAGACGAUGAUGCAUAGCCGACCUGAGAGGGGGAUCGGCCACAUUGGGACUGAGACACGGCCCAAACUCCUACGGGAGGCAGCAGUAGGGAAUCUUCCGCAAUGGGCGAAAGCCUGACGGAGCAAUGCCGCGUGAGUGAAGAAGGCCUUCGGGUCGUAAAACUCUGUUAUAAGAGAAGAACAAAUUGUAGAGUAACUGCUACAGUCUUGACGGUAUCUUAUCAGAAAGCCACGGCUAACUACGUGCCAGCCGCCGCCGUAA